GACGGUAUGAACCAUGUAGCUCGUUGCUCUUUGCACCCGAGUGGACCUGGCUGGGAUACACUCAACAGACCGCCACCCGAGGUUAGUCCAGUGGAACCACCUCGGUAUAGAAAUACCUUGAGGCUAAAGGACCUUCUGCCAUUCCCACUCAUGAGAAGGCGUAAUCACGAGAUAUAAGGAUAGAACGAAGCCUGAGUCUGACCACGAUCAUACUUUACCAAUUCAAUUCCAAUUCAUGAGAUAUUCC
rnacentral:lncRNA from 1 species